rnacentral:rRNA from 1 species
AUUGAACGCUGGCGGCAUGCCUUACACAUGCAAGUCGAACGGUAACAGGUCUUCGGAUGCUGACGAGUGGCGCACGGGUGCGUAAUACAUCGGAACGUGCCCGAUCGUGGGGGAUAACGGAGCGAAAGCUUUGCUAAUACCGCAUACGAUCUACGGAUGAAAGCAGGGGACCGCAAGGCCUUGCGCGGACGGAGCGGCCGAUGGCAGAUUAGGUAGUUGGUGGGAUAAAAGCUUACCAAGCCGACGAUCUGUAGCUGGUCUGAGAGGACGACCAGCCACACUGGGACUGAGACACGGCCCAGACUCCUACGGGAGGCAGCAGUGGGGAAUUUUGGACAAUGGGCGAAAGCCUGAUCCAGCCAUGCCGCGUGCAGGAUGAAGGCCUUCGGGUUGUAAAAUGCUUUUGUACGGAACGAAAAGACUCUUUCUAAUAAAGAGGGUCCAUGACGGUACCGUAAGAAUAAGCACCGGCUAACUACGUG